rnacentral:rRNA from 1 species
GACGAACGCUGGCGGCGCGCCUAACACAUGCAAGUCGAACGAGAGAAGAAGAGCUUGCUUUUCUGAUCGAGUGGCGAACGGGUGAGUAACGCGUGAGGAACCUGCCUCAAAGAGGGGGACAACAGUUGGAAACGACUGCUAAUACCGCAUAAGCCCACGGCUCGGCAUCGAGCAGAGGGAAAAGGAGCAAUCCGCUUUGAGAUGGCCUCGCGUCCGAUUAGCUAGUUGGUGAGGUAAUGGCCCACCAAGGCGACGAUCGGUAGCCGGACUGAGAGGUUGAACGGCCACAUUGGGACUGAGACACGGCCCAGACUCCUACGGGAGGCAGCAGUGGGGAAUAUUGCACAAUGGGGGAAACCCUGAUGCAGCGACGCCGCGUGGAGGAAGAAGGUCUUCGGAUUGUAAACUCCUGUUGUUGAGGAAGAUAAUGACG